rnacentral:rRNA from 1 species
AGAGUUUGAUCCUGGCUCAGGAUGAACGCUGGCGGCGUGCCUAACACAUGCAAGUCGAACGAAGCUUGACGGAUGAUUUCUUCGGAAUGAAACCAGAUAUGACUUAGUGGCGGACGGGUGAGUAACACGUGAGCAACCUGCCUUUCAGAGGGGGAUAACGGCUGGAAACGGUCGCUAAUACCGCAUGAAGUGUUCGGAUGGCAUCAUCUGAACAUCAAAGAUUUAUCGCUGAAAGAUGGGCUCGCGUCUGAUUAGAUAGUUGGUGGGGUAACGGCCUACCAAGUCUACGAUCAGUAGCCGGACUGAGAGGUUGAACGGCCACAUUGGGACUGAGAUACGGCCCAGACUCCUACGGGAGGCAGCAGUGGGGAAUAUUGCACAAUGGGGGAAACCCUGAUGCAGCAACGCCGCGUGAAGGAUGACGGUUUUCGGAUUGUAAACUUCUUUUCUUAGUGACGAAGACAGUGACGGUAGCUAAGGAAUAAGCAUCGGCUAACUACGUGCCAGCAGCCGCGGUAAUACGUAGGAUGCAAGCGUUAUCCGGAUUUACUGGGUGUAAAGGGAGCGCAGGCGGGACUGCAAGUUGGAUGUGAAAUACCGUGGCUUAACCACGGAACUGCAUCCAAAACUGUAGUUCUUGAGUGAAGUAGAGGCAAGCGGAAUUCCGAGUGUAGCGGUGAAAUGCGUAGAUAUUCGGAGGAACACCAGUGGCGAAGGCGGCUUGCUGGGCUUUAACUGACGCUGAGGCUCGAAAGUGUGGGGAGCAAACAGGAUUAGAUACCCUGGUAGUCCACACUGUAAACGAUGAUAGCUAGGUGUGGGGGGUCUGACCCCUUCCGUGCCGGAGUUAACGCAAUAAGCUAUCCACCUGGGGAGUACGACCGCAAGGUUGAAACUCAAAGGAA